GGAUAAGCUACUAAGGGCACACGGAGGAUGCCUUGGCGCCAGGAGCCGAUGAAGGACGGGACGAACACCGAUAUGCUUCGGGGAGCUGUAAGUAAGCGUCGAUCCGGAGAUUUCCGAAUGGGGCAACCCACUGGCUGGAAGAGCCAGUACCGCCGCCUGAAUCCAUAGGGCGGCCGGAGGCAGACCAGGGGAACUGAAACAUCUUAGUACCCUGAGGAAGAGAAAGCAAAAGCGGGCCCCGCGAAAGUAAUACUUUCGUGGGUGCUAAAAGCGAUUCCCCCAGUAGCGGCGAGCGAAAAGGGAACAGCCCAAACCGCCGGCUUUUUGCCGGCGGGGUUGUAGGGCGUCUCACACGGAGUUACAAAAGCACGGGGUAAGUGAAGUGGUUCUGGAAUGACCCGCCACAGACGGUAACAGCCCGGUAACUGAAACCCCCUGCUCUCCGAGACGGACCCUGAGUACCGCGGGACACGUGAAACCCCGCGGGAAUCCGGGAGGACCACCUCCCAAGGCUAAAUACUCCCUGGCGACCGAUAGUGAACCAGUACCGUGAGGGAAAGGUGAAAAGCACCCCGGAAGGGGAGUGAAACAGAACCUGAAACCGUGUGCUUACAAUCAGUCGGAGCAUCUGUAAGAUGUGACGGCGUGCCUUUUGUAGAAUGAACCGGCGAGUAACGGUUGCGUGCAAGGUUAAGGUGAAAAGCCGGAGCCGCAGCGAAAGCGAGUCUGAACAGGGCGAUCCAGUACGCAGCCGUUGACCCGAAACCGGGUGAUCUACCCAUGUCCAGGGUGAAGUGGCGGUAACACGCCAUGGAGGCCCGAACCCACUGGUGUUGAAAAACCAGGGGAUGAGGUGUGGGUAGGGGUGAAAUGCCAAUCGAACCCGGAGAUAGCUGGUUCUCCCCGAAAUAGCUUUAGGGCUAGCCUCGGAGAUUGAGUCAUGGAGGUAGAGCACUGAUUGGGCUAGGGGCCCUCCACGGGUUACCGAACUCAGUUAAACUCCGAAUGCCAUCGACUCUCACUCCGGGAGUCAGACUGCGAGUGCUAAGAUCCGCAGUCAAAAGGGAAACAGCCCGGACCACCAGCUAAGGUCCCCAAGUGACCGUUCAGUGGAAAAGGAUGUGGAGUUGCCCAGACAACCAGGAUGUUGGCUUAGAAGCAGCCAUCAUUCAAAGAGUGCGUAAUAGCUCACUGGUCAAGUGACUCUGCGCCGAAAAUGUAACGGGGCUAAACGGUCCACCGAAGCUGUGGAUGGUGCCGCAUUCACUCUGUCUUUGAAGGAAUGAACGGAUAUUUCCGUUCAUUCGCCGAAAACAACCUUGAUCUUUCUUCAAGUUUUCAGCGAAAUGCCUUUGGCUAAACGGCGUCUCUUUCAAAGCUGGAGUGAAUGCGGCACGAUGGUAGGGGAGCGUUCCAAGGGCAUCGAAGCCCGCUCGUGAGAGCGGGUGGAGCGCUUGGAAGUGAGAAUGCCGGUAUGAGUAGCGAAAAGAGGGGUGAGAAUCCCCUCCACCGAAAGCCUAAGGUUUCCUGAGGAAGGUUCGUCCGCUCAGGGUUAGUCGGGACCUAAGCCGAGGCCGAAAGGCGUAGGCGAUGGACAACAGGUGGAAAUUCCUGUACCACCCGCUUCCGUUUGUACGAUGGGGGGACGCAGGAGGGUAGAGAAUCGCGCGGCUGGAAGAGCGCGUCCAAGCAGUGAGGCUGAAGAAACAGGCAAAUCCGUUUCUUCUUCAAGCCAGGCUGUGACGGCGAGGGAAAUGAUGAGUACCGAAGUUCUUGAUCUCACACUGCCAAGAAAAGCCUCUAGGAGGAAGCAGGUGCCCGUACCGCAAACCAACACAGGUAGGCGAGGAGAGAAUCCUCAGGUGCUCGGGAAAACUCUCGUUAAGGAACUCGGCAAAAUGACCCCGUAACUUCGGGAGAAGGGGUGCCCCGUUAGGGUGUAUGCCCGAGGGGGCCGCAGUGAAGAGGCCCAGGCGACUGUUUAGCAAAAACACAGGUCUCUGCGAAGCCGCAAGGCGAUGUAUAGGGGCUGACGCCUGCCCGGUGCUGGAAGGUUAAGGGGAAGGGUUAGCUAACGCAAAGCUCUGAACCGAAGCCCCAGUAAACGGCGGCCGUAACUAUAACGGUCCUAAGGUAGCGAAAUUCCUUGUCGGGUAAGUUCCGACCCGCACGAAAGGCGUAACGAUCUGGGCGCUGUCUCAACGAGAGACCCGGUGAAAUUGUACUGCCAGUGAAGAUGCUGGCUACCCGCGACAAGACGGAAAGACCCCGUGGAGCUUUACU
rnacentral:rRNA from 1 species